CACGUAGGGGCAAGCGUUGUCCGGAUUUACGUGGCGUAAAGGGCAAGCAGGCGGAUCGUUUAAGUAGAAAGUGAAACGGUCGGAGCUCAACUCCAACAUUGCUUCUAUACUGGCGGUCGUUGAGUCCCGGAGGGGAUGAGCGGAACGAACACGUGUAGCGGUGAAAUGCGUUGAGUAUAGUGAUCGGAACACCAUGGCGAAGGCAGCUCUCUGGACGGGUACUGGACGCUACUU
rnacentral:rRNA from 1 species